rnacentral:lncRNA from 1 species
ACUGUCUCUCCUUCCCAGUGGCUUGCUGCUGCCCUGGCUGGAUGCCACCCUCUGCCAGGUGGGGGUGGAGGGCUAGUGUCACUGGUCAGCCAUCCUCCUGUGUGUGUCACAUCAAGAGCUCAAGAACUCUUCCAUUCUCCCAGGAUGUUGUAGCUGGAGACUAAGGACAGCUUUGCACUCGUGAGACAACUCUGGGAUCUGACUCCAGGACCACCUGCACACCUAAGAAUGGAUUAAAUUACAACACAGACACAUCCAUACAAAGCGGCUGCUCUUGGAAGAUGUGUGUGCAUAUACCUGUCCUGUCUCUCCUUUGCACCCUUCAUGGUUUCACACCAGCCCUGCAGCUAUAGAGUCUCCAUUGGACUGUGAGCAUCGGGAAAGCUCUCUGGACCAGCAUGUGCACUUCACCUGAUGCUUAUGGAAGACACACAGCACACACAGGAAAACACCUCCUCCAGGAUUGCUCUAGGCCUCAGAGGAAUUGGCCAGAGCUUCGAAGCAGUGCGGGCAGGGCCUUCCUGACAUUGUGGCAUGACUUCUGCUUGCUGCCUUCUCCCAUAAAACAGUGAUUCCUCCGUAGAAAGCACUCAGCAGUGGGACUUGGCAAAGCCUGGAAUUCUUACCUGGAAAAGCAUUUCUUCAUCUGGAUUUCUGAUGCCACCUACCUCCAUGAAAUGCCUUCUGUAAGAAAAGCCUCAUUGUGUCCACAAGCUGGAGCUGAACACUUAGGGGCAAGUCAGGGAAGCUGUCACCAGUGCAGAAGCCACAUGAUAUCUGCUAUGGCAAAGGUAGUCCUCAGUGCCCAAGGUGGGGACAAUGCUUUCAAAGGAACUCCAAGAGUACCCAUAAGGCUUUAAUGUAGCUUUAACAUCGCAGCGAUCUUGACAAUAAAACAGACUUUAGGGACA